rnacentral:sRNA from 1 species
UGCAUUUGAAGCCCAUGAGGAUGAGAACCUCCGGGGGCGGGGAGGUUCGACUCGAGCGAAGCGAGAGAACGUUGCGCCAGCAACGGCCCGCAGGGCGAGCCACGAAGUGGCGAGUAAUCCUCUAUCACC